GUGCUUGCUUUGGUAGCACAUCUAUUAAUACUAGAAUAAUACAGAGAAGAUCAUCGAGACACCUGUGCAAGGAUGAGAUGCAAAUUCAUGAAGCAUUCUAUAUGAAA
rnacentral:snRNA from 1 species